UAUAUUUUGGUGUAAGAGGCACAGUAAUUUUUGAAGUUACUAGAUAUAGUUUAAUUCUAUAAAAUAUAA
rnacentral:tRNA from 1 species